rnacentral:rRNA from 1 species
AUGAACGCUGGCGGCGUGCUUAACACAUGCAAGUCGAGCGAAGCAGUUAAGUUGAUUUCUUCGGAAUGAUUCUUAACUGACUGAGCGGCGGACGGGUGAGUAACGCGUGGGUGACCUGCCCCAUACCGGGGGAUAACAGCUGGAAACGGCUGCUAAUACCGCAUAAGCGCACAGAGCUGCAUGGCUCGGUGUGAAAAACUCCGGUGGUAUGGGAUGGGCCCGCGUCUGAUUAGGCAGUUGGCGGGGUAACGGCCCACCAAACCGACGAUCAGUAGCCGGCCUGAGAGGGCGACCGGCCACAUUGGGACUGAGACACGGCCCAAACUCCUACGGGAGGCAGCAGUGGGGAAUAUUGCACAAUGGGGGAAACCCUGAUGCAGCGACGCCGCGUGAGCGAAGAAGUAUUUCGGUAUGUAAAGCUCUAUCAGCAGGGAAGAUAAUGACGGUACCUGACUAAGAAGCCCCGGCUAACUACGUGCCAGCAGCCGCGGUAAUACGUAGGGGGCAAGCGUUAUCCGGAUUUACUGGGUGUAAAGGGAGCGUAGACGGCAAGGCAAGUCUGAUGUGAAAACCCAGGGCUUAACCCUGGGACUGCAUUGGAAACUGUCUGGCUCGAGUGCCGGAGAGGUAAGCGGAAUUCCUAGUGUAGCGGUGAAAUGCGUAGAUAUUAGGAAGAACACCAGUGGCGAAGGCGGCUUACUGGACGGUAACUGACGUUGAGGCUCGAAAGCGUGGGGAGCAAACA